rnacentral:tRNA from 1 species
UCCCUGGCAGUCCAGUGGUUAGGACUCUGCGCUUCAACUGCAGGGGGCACAGGUUUGAUCCCUGGUCAGGGAA